UUUUCUUUUCUCUUCCUCUCAACACCCUAAUGGCCGCCAAACACUAUAGAGAAAAGUUUGUCUCUCAUUUAGUUCUUGCCAUCAACACUAGGGAAGCUAGAAUUUUUGAAUCUCAAGGAGGUAGAGGUUAUUUGAGGUGGUACUAACAAAAGGUUCAAGAGGUUUACCCUCAUAGAAAAGUCGGCCACCAAGCCAAGAUGAUUGUAGGCUUUCAAAAAUUUGGAAGAGGUUCUUGUGAUAAGUGGUGAGGGUGUCAAGAGACACGAUUCUAGAGUCUUGGCUAAGCAAGGUUAUCAAGAGGUUCGUUGUGGAGUUUGUUCCAUUUUUGCUUUGCUCGGACAUGAGGUAGCAAAUAGGUUUUUCUCUUUGGCACGCAUGGUGAUGUGGGGAGUUCCGACGUCAGAGUGUGUAUGACGUGGAGGUAUCCUAUGGGCGAACAAACGAUCAGCUUAAUGCCAAUUUCUAAGGAACAAUGUUAUGUUUAUUUUUAACUUUUAAGAACUUAUCAAUGAGACUUGAACUUUAUUUAUUUUUAAAACAUUGUAUGAAAACUAUUAUUUUUAUUUUAAAACUAUUUGGCCCAACUUGCAUGUUUUAGCAAGGCCCCA